rnacentral:tRNA from 1 species
GGAGAGGUGCCCGAGUGGUUGAAGGGGGCGGUCUCGAAAACCGUUGAACCGGGCAACUGGUUCCCAGGGUUCGAAUCCCUGCCUCUCCG